UACGUAGGGUGCGAGCGUUGUCCGGAAUUACUGGGCGUAAAGAGCUCGUAGGUGGUUUGUCGCGUUGUUCGUGAAAACUCACAGCUUAACUGUGGGCGUGCGGGCGGAUACGGGCAGACUGGAGUACUGCAGGGGAGACUGGAAUUCCUGGUGUAGCGGUGGAAUGAUGCAGAUAUCAGGAGGAACACCGGUGGCGAAGGCGGGGUCUCUGGGCAGUAACUGACGCUGGAGGAGCGAAAGCGUGGGGGAGCGAACAGG
rnacentral:rRNA from 1 species